rnacentral:rRNA from 1 species
UUCUUGAUGUCGGAUACGAGCCGGGGCAACUACGGGUGCUCAC